CUUCUCCCCCGUCUUUCACGAAAAAAUUCCUAUCGUCGUCGUCGUCGUCAUGGAAUUAUUCGAGUUCUUCGUGCUGCUGCUGUUGGUCGUCUCGACUAUGAACAGUGUGUCGUGCCACCAUCAUCAUCAUCGCGGUGUCCACGUGGACGAUAAGAAAAAGGGGGACCCGAUGGAGCACGGGAAAAGGUACACGGCCAGUGACAAUAAGAACGUGGUACCGUCCGAGGGCGAAAAGCACGGCAGGGGCUUGAAGGGCGAGGAUAUUAAAGGGCGCACGGUCCCUUUUAGCGAGAGGAGGCUGGAGAAGAUGCUGGAGAAAGCUAUCUUGAAAAUAAUCACCGGCGAUCUUAGCACGGGUGAUAUGUUGCUGUUGAAAAGUCUAAAUUAUAGCUUGGAGGAAGUUCUCGCGAUCCGCGAGAGAGAAUUGAGUAAGAAGAAGGAUGAGGAAUUGAGGAAGAAGAAGGAGAGCGUGAAAUCUUGGGCAAAGGUAUUAUACGAAGGGGAUGGAGAAAGGAAGGGUAAAAAUAAUAAUUGGAGUAAAAAAUCCACGGAUCGUUCCGUUUCGAAAAACCCUGAUUCCGAGAGUAACAAAGGUAACAGAGAAGGUAAGAGGAACCGGCACGUGGAUAGAUCACCUUCCUACAAGGAUUUUGACUUCGAGGCGUAUAAUCGACAGGCGAUCCUUGAUUACGAGAAUCUGCCAUCGAACGUGGAAUUUCAGCAAUCUUGGUCGGAGCCUGCAGCUGUCGAUUACGAAGAGGUUACCAAACCUUCCAAAGAGGAAGAUAUCGCGAAUAAUCUUCAUCGAGAUUUUGACAGGGUAAUGGAGCCUCACGUAGUCUUCAAGAUUCGAUACGAUGAUUCCGAAUUCGAUUCCAGCUCGGACGAAACGAAUAAAAAUCGUUCUAGGAAACAUCACGAUUCUUCGACAACGAGACACGCGAGUUUAAAAAAUGCCGGUAAUUCCUUUCAUGUAUCGACACCGCCAUCGAUGUCUUCAUCUACUACUGUCGCUACUCUACCUCUGGUUUAUCAAUUGAGUGGCAUCAAUGUUAGGAGUAACUAUCUGAAUAAUGAAAAUUAUUCUACCGCUACAGCCGCAUCUUCGACAUCGAGUAGUACUACUACCACGGAAAGUACUACCGUGCCAGACGAAAUUUCAAACGUUGACAAAAAUGAAACGAAUAUCGACGCUCGUAUCGUCAAUUCUACCGAUAAAGUAUCUGUCUUAAAAAAUGAGAAGAAAACUAAUGAAAAUAAAAAAAUUAACGAGUACGAAGGGCUGGAAUGGGUCGAAGACGAUGUUUACCGAGUACUCCCCGAAUUCGUGGAUUCCCUUAGUUUCGAGAACACGGAGGAGAACGAAACGUCCGACUAUGAAGACUCUAGUCACGAUUCCCGACUAAAUUGGAACACAGAGGAGAACGAAAACAGCACGUUGGGGUAUUUGAACGACACUCCUGAUUCUGUCAAGCUCUUCGUGUCUAACAAUAACAUUUCUGCCGGCAAUCUUCCAUUGGCGAAUCUAUCGUCAUAUCUACAAGUGGCUAUUGCUCAUCGACGAGGAGGAAACCUAACCUCAAGCUUCGACAGCCAAGGUGAAAAAGCCAUUGAGGAUAUCAAAACCCGAGUUUUAGCUCUGACGGGAAGGUUCAACCUCAGUACCGAUGCUAAUCAAGUCCAACGAGAAAGAUUGACAAUGUUUUCGCCAACUUGUCAAAUUCCACGUAACACAGAUCAAGAUGCUUGGACAGAUUCAUUCUCUAUGAAUAUGCAUUUUCAAUUGAACUUGACUUCCAGUGAUCAUGUGAUAGCUGCCAAAUUACGGAUAUUUAAAUUACCGCAAGAAAACGUGACGUUCUCUUCGGAAAGUACGUUCGAUGAUGAAGAAGAAGAUGAGAAAAAAAUUAGAAUAUCGGUCUAUUAUUACACGAAAACUUUGAAGAGGCAUCGAUCGAAGAAACGUUUGAUGGAUUCGAUAGUGACACCUCUCACGUUUAAAGGUACUCAUUUAGCGUUAGAUGUUAGACAAGGUCUUCGAUUCUGGAGAUUGAAUCCACGAAACUCUCAUGGAAGCGGAAGUAAUCACGGCUUGGUAAUCCAAGUUGAAGAUCAAGAUGGCAGGCCAUUGAAACCGGCUCUAUAUAUUCAGCAACCGUCUUGCGUGGAUCAGGAUUCAGAUCAGAAGGCAUACCAGCGAGUACCUGCACUCUUCGUACGAGCCUGUACUCGUUACGUUCGUAUCGUAAAUGGCAAAACGGAGACGUACGUCAAUUGCAGGCAUUAAAUGGAAGAAAAACACUUAGAUGUUAUAAGAAAUUAGUAAAUUAUUCAUAUUGUACUUUAUGUUUUUUAAAAAAUGAUGAUUUUUUUUAUGGAAAACAGGGAAUACCGUCCUUCAACACUCGAUUCAAACAUAUACUAAUAGAAUCAUAGAAUGCAUUUUUAUGAAAAAAGUAACUAUAAUCAAUACAAAAUAUAACUAAGUCGAACAAAGAUACUUUUGUGAAUUCGUCAAAAAAAUGAUUUUUUAUUGCUAUUUUUGAAUAAUUAAUUAGAUUGAACUCAUUAACGAAUUCAACAAAAUUUUAUAAAUUUUUUAUAUAAAAUCAUGUUGGCGACAUUCUAGUAAUUUCUACUAUUCUAUGCGCACAAAAAUAGAUCUUACAUGAAAACAAUAGACGAAUGCCCCCACUACUUCAAAAUUAAUUUAAGAUGGAGUAAAAAACGCGCGAAAAUUAUAAUAAUUGUAAAUGAUUAAAAAAAAUACGUAUAAUCCCAGUAAAAGUUCUUUUAUAGACUGUUCUUAAUUAAAAGAAAAAAUGUUAAUUUAAAAAUGUGGCGUAUUAUUUAAAUGAAAUUCAAUCUGUUUCGCAUUGAAAUCUGUACCGCCGAUAAAAAUUCGUGUGGAAAAAAUUCGGAAAGUACCUUCAAUUCGACGCCGGCAGGCACAACGAUCGGCCUGAAGGACAAAGAGUGAGGGCAGAUCGGUGUAAUCAUGAUCGCAGGUACAGAAGGAUGAAUCAUGCUGGCUCCAGCCGCAACAGCAUACGCCGUAGACCCGGUCGGCGUGCUUACGAUCAGGCCAUCACCCUGUACACUGGUCACAUGUUUACCAUCGAUGAAGAGGUCGAUGUUUGAGAGAUAUGGGGACGGACCUCGAUCGACUACGACCUCGUUCAGCACCAGUAAUUCCGUUCGUGGCGGUUUUGUCUCCUUGUUCUCCUCUCCUUUUCGCAUGAUGAUACAUUU
rnacentral:misc_RNA from 1 species